GUUAACCGGGAUUAUCUCGAUCUCCUGACCUCGUGAUCCAUCCACCUUGGCCUCCCAAAGUGCUAGGAUUACAGGCGUGAGUCACCAUGCCUGGCCAGUUUAGGUGUUUUUUUAAAAAUCAGUUUUAAAGGCCACAUGACAACUUUCUUCCCACAAGGCUAUAAGCGGCCAUGUUUCCCCAAAGGGCUGCUUAGUUGUUAAAAAUCACAUUUGCUAUUUCUCAGAUAGAAUUGUCCUCAACUAAAUAUUUCUGACUG
rnacentral:lncRNA from 1 species